GACGAACGCUGGCGGCGUGCCUAAUACAUGCAAGUUGAGCGCUGAAGGUUCGUACUUGUACCAACUGGAUGAGCAGCGAACGGGUGAGUAACGCGUGGGGAAUCUGCCUUUGAGCGGGGGACAACAUUUGGAAACGAAUGCUAAUACCGCAUAAAAACUUUAAACACAAGUUUUAAGUUUGAAAGAUGCAAUUGCAUCACUCAAAGAUGAUCCCGCGUUGUAUUAGCUAGUUGGUGAGGUAAAGGCUCACCAAGGCGAUGAUACAUAGCCGACCUGAGAGGGUGAUCGGCCACAUUGGGACUGAGACACGGCCCAAACUCCUACGGGAGGCAGCAGUAGGGAAUCUUCGGCAAUGGACGAAAGUCUGACCGAGCAACGCCGCGUGAGUGAAGAAGGUUUUCGGAUCGUAAAACUCUGUUGGUAGAGAAGAACGUUGGUGAGAGUGGAAAGCUCAUCAAGUGACGGUAACUACCCAGAAAGGGACGGCUAACUACGU
rnacentral:rRNA from 1 species